rnacentral:piRNA from 1 species
UCCAUGUCAACACAGACUUGGGUCUUAUCC